GCCACUAGUAUCCACCAGUCCUCUGCUUUCUAACUUCGUAAAGGGGCUUAGGCCACUCACUUGAUCGAAGCCCAGCUUCAUUUCUUUCCAAAAGCCUUAAACCAUUGCAAGCUAAAACUAGGCCCAUGCCUUUAUCAUUUGUGUCAAACUCCUCCAAGGACACUCUGAUAUACUGACAUGCUUCCCCACACCCCAAGACAGGAUCACUCCCUGAUUCCAAAACUGCAAAGGCCACAGUUUCAGGUCAAUAGUCAAGAAACGCCUUAACACUAUACACUCUGAAAAAUCCCGUUUAGUCAAGACAAUACUCGGCUCUGGAAGUGCAUUCUCUGAAACCCAAGUUGGGACCACCUUCGCGGGGCAGGAGACAGUGGGUAAAGCAGAAGGCAGAUGGAAUCCAUGUACAAUGUGUACCAUGGCGCAACACCCCCUUGUACGUGAGAGAGACCAUGGUGGGGAAUUCAGGUCUAAGAGUGGGCGGCAGAACUGCACAAACUCACAGCUGCUCUCCAGGUCACCUGAAAACCGCGAUGCCUUCCCCUCCAGGAGUGCUCCAGAACUCACCCUCUGGCUGUUUUUAGAAGGAGUGGGAGAGAGGGAUGGUUUCACGCCCACCUGCCCGCUGCCUCUCUUCCCCGGGUCCCCCCAGCUCCCUGCCGGCAUCCACGGUCCCGCCGGCUC